rnacentral:rRNA from 1 species
ACUCAAAGGAAUUGACGGGGGCCCGCACAAGCGGCGGAGCAUGCGGAUUAAUUCGAUGCAACGCGAAGAACCUUACCAAGGCUUGACAUCCGCCGGACCGCCCCAGAGAUGGGGUUUCCCUUCGGGGCCGGUGGACAGGUGGUGCAUGGUUGUCGUCAGCUCGUGUCGUGAGAUGUUGGGUUAAGUCCCGCAACGAGCGCAACCCUCGUUCUAUGUUGCCAGCACGUGAUGGUGGGGACUCAUAGGAGACUGCCGGGGUCAACUCGGAGGAAGGUGGGGAUGACGUCAAAUCAUCAUGCCCCUUAUGUCUUGGGCUUCACGCAUGCUACAAUGGCCGGUACAAAGGGUUGCGAUACUGUGAGGUGGAGCUAAUCCCAAAAAGCCGGUCUCAGUUCGGAUUGAGGUCUGCAACUCGACCUCAUGAAGUCGGAGUCGCUAGUAAUCGCAGAUCAGCAACGCUGCGGUGAAUACGUUCCCGGGCCUUGCACACACCGCCCGU